rnacentral:rRNA from 2 species
GAGAGAUCGGGCGGUUCCCCCCUUUCCGGGGGGACGAGGGUGACAGGUGGUGCAUGGUUGUCGUCAGCUCGUGUCGUGAGAUGUUGGGUUAAGUCCCGCAACGAGCGCAACCCUCGACCUUAGUUGCCAGCAUUCAGUUGGGCACUCUAAGGUGACUGCCGGCUAAAGUCGGAGGAAGGUGGGGAUGACGUCAAAUCAUCAUGGCCCUUAUGACCUGGGCUACACACGCGCUACAAUGGCCUGUACAGAGGGAAGCGAAAGAGCGAUCUGGAGCGAAUCUCACAAAACAGGUCUCAGUUCGGAUUGCAGGCUGAAACCCGCCUGCAUGAAGCCGGAAUUGCUAGUAAUCGCAGAUCAGCUACGCUGCGGUGAACUACGUUCUCGGGCCUU